UACGUAGGGGGCUAGCGUUGUCCGGAAUCAUUGGGCGUAAAGAGCGUGUAGGCGGUCCGGUAAGUCCGCUGUGAAAGUCGGGGGCUCAACCCUCGAAUGCCGGUGGAUACUGUCGGGCUAGAGUGCGGAAGGGGCAACUGGAAUUCUUGGUGUAGCGGUGAAAUGCGUAGAUAUCAAGAGGAACACCUGCGGCGAAGGCGGGUUGCUGGGCCGACACUGACGCUGAUGCGCGAAAGCUAGGGGAGCGAACGGG
rnacentral:rRNA from 1 species